rnacentral:rRNA from 1 species
ACGGGUGAGUAAUGCCUAGGAAUCUGCCUGGUAGUGGGGGAUAACGCUCGGAAACGGACGCUAAUACCGCAUACGUCCUACGGGAGAAAGCAGGGGACCUUCGGGCCUUGCGCUAUCAGAUGAGCCUAGGUCGGAUUAGCUAGUUGGUGAGGUAAUGGCUCACCAAGGCGACGAUCCGUAACUGGUCUGAGAGGAUGAUCAGUCACACUGGAACUGAGACACGGUCCAGACUCCUACGGGAGGCAGCAGUGGGGAAUAUUGGACAAUGGGCGAAAGCCUGAUCCAGCCAUGCCGCGUGUGUGAAGAAGGUCUUCGGAUUGUAAAGCACUUUAAGUUGGGAGGAAGGGCAUUAACCUAAUACGUUAGUGUUUUGACGUUACCGACAGAAUAAGCACCGGCUAACUCUGUGCCAGCAGCCGCGGUAAUACAGAGGGUGCAGGCGUUAAUCGGAAUUACUGGGCGUAAAGCGCGCGUAGGUGGUUUGUUAAGUUGGAUGUGAAAUCCCCGGGCUCAACCUGGGAACUGCAUUCAAAACUGACAAGCUAGAGUAUGGUAGAGGGUGGUGGAAUUUCCUGUGUAGCGGUG